rnacentral:rRNA from 1 species
GAUGAACGCUAGCGGAAGGCUUAAUACAUGCAAGUCGAGCGGUAGGUGGCUUCGGCCAUUGAGAGCGGCGCACGGGUGAGUAACGCGUACAUGACCUGCCUGUCAGAAGGGGAUAGCCCUGGGAAACUGGGAUUAAUACCCUAUGGUAUUGAUAUUAUGAAUGAUAUCAAUUAAAGUUGAGGCGCUGACAGAUGGAUGUGCGUCUGAUUAGCUAGUUGGUAGGGUAACGGCCUACCAAGGCGACGAUCAGUAGGGGCGUGAGAGCGUGGUCCCCCACACGGGUACUGAGACACGGACCCGACUCCUACGGGAGGCAGCAGUAAGGAAUAUUGGUCAAUGCCCGCAAGGGUGAACCAGCCAUUCCGCGUGGAGGAUGAAGGCCCU